AAAAAGGCAAACCGUGGGUUCCCGUGCCAACGUUUAACUGUCCGUCUUAUAUGAAAUUUUUUUAUAAUUAGUAUUUUUUUAUAAUUUUUUUCAUAAUUUUUUAAAUAAGACGAACGGUCAAACGUUGGACAUGGAAAACAGGGUUUGUCUUUUU
rfam:Oryza glaberrima chromosome 11 Oglab11_0030_12, whole genome shotgun sequence.